rnacentral:rRNA from 1 species
AACGAACGCUGGCGGCAGGCCUAACACAUGCAAGUCGAACGCCCUAGCAAUAGGGAGUGGCAGACGGGUGAGUAACACGUGGGAACCUUCCCUAUAGUACGGAAUAGCUCAGGGAAACUUGAAGUAAUACCGUAUACGCCCGAGAGGGGAAAGAUUUAUCGCUAUAGGAUGGGCCCGCGUCGGAUUAGCUAGUUGGUGAGGUAAUGGCUCACCAAGGCGACGAUCCGUAGCUGGUUUGAGAGAACGACCAGCCACACUGGGACUGAGACACGGCCCAGACUCCUACGGGAGGCAGCAGUGGGGAAUAUUGGACAAUGGGCGCAAGCCUGAUCCAGCCAUGCCG